GCCAGACUCCUACGGGAGGCAGCAGUGAGGAAUAUUGGUCAAUGGGCGGGAGCCUGAACCAGCCAAGCCGCGUGAGGGAAGAAGGUACAGCGUAUCGUAAACCUCUUUUGUCAGGGAACAAAGGCGGGGACUAGUCCCCGGAUGAGGGUACCUGAAGAAAAAGCAUCGGCUAACUCCGUGCCAGCAGCCGCGGUAAUACGGAGGAUGCGAGCGUUAUCCGGAUUUAUUGGGUUUAAAGGGUGCGCAGGCGGCCUGUUAAGUAGGGGGAAAAGGCCGGGGGCCAACCCCGGGCGAGCCGUUGAAACUGGCGGGCUGGAGUUGGAGAGAAGUACGCGGAAUGCGCGGUGUAGCGGUGAAAUGCUUAGAUAUCGCGCAGAACCCCGAUUGCGAAGGCAGCAUACCGGCGCCCAACUGACGCUGAAGCACGAAAGCGUGGGUAUCGAACAGGAUUAGAUACCCUCGUA
rnacentral:rRNA from 1 species